rnacentral:rRNA from 1 species
ACCCCCCUAAGUGGGAGAGUUGCCACCGGAUCCCAUAAGAACUCCGGAGUUAAGCGUGCUCAGGUGGGAGUAGUCACCGGAUGGGUGACCUCCCUGGGAAGUCCCAAGGUACGUGUGC